GACGAACUGUGCAAACGUUAUUCGGAAUCACUGGGCUUGAAGAGUGCGUAGGCGGUUUUGUAAGUAGGGUGUGAAAGCCCCCCGGCUCAACCGGGGAAUUGCGCCCUAAACUGCAAGGCUGGAGUGAGGUAGGGGUGUGUGGAACUUCUAGUGGAGCGGUGAAAUGUGUUGAUAUUAGAAGGAACGCCGGUGGCGAAAGCGACACACUGGACCUUGUCUGACGCUGAGGCACGAAAGCCAGGGGAGCAAACGGG
rnacentral:rRNA from 1 species